rnacentral:rRNA from 1 species
GAUGAACGCUGGCGGCGUGCCUAAUACAUGCAAGUCGAGCGAACGGACGAGAAGCUUGCUUCUCUGAUGUUAGCGGCGGACGGGUGAGUAACACGUGGAUAACCUACCUAUAAGACUGGGAUAACUUCGGGAAACCGGAGCUAAUACCGGAUAAUAUUUUGAACCGCAUGGUUCAAAAGUGAAAGACGGUCUUGCUGUCACUUAUAGAUGGAUCCGCGCUGCAUUAGCUAGUUGGUAAGGUAACGGCUUACCAAGGCAACGAUGCAUAGCCGACCUGAGAGGGUGAUCGGCCACACUGGAACUGAGACACGGUCCAGACUCCUACGGGAGGCAGCAGUAGGGAAUCUUCCGCAAUGGGCGAAAGCCUGACGGAGCAACGCCGCGUGAGUGAUGAAGGUCUUCGGAUCGUAAAACUCUGUUAUUAGGGAAGAACAUAUGUGUAAGUAACUGUGCACAUCUUGACGGUACCUAAUCAGAAAGCCACGGCUAACUACGUGCCAGCAGCCGCGGUAAUACGUAGGUGGCAAGCGUUAUCCGGGAUUUAUGGGCGUAAAGCGCGCGUAGGCGGUUUUUUAAGUCUGAUGUGAAAGCCCACGGCUCAACCGUGGAGGGUCAUUGGAAACUGGAAAACUUGAGUGCAGAAGAGGAAAGUGGAAUUCCAUGUGUAGCGGUGAAAUGCGCAGAGAUAUGGAGGAACACCAGUGGCGAAGGCGACUUUCUGGUCUGUAACUGACGCUGAUGUGCGAGAGCGUGGGGAUCAAACAGGAUUAGAUACCCUGGUAGUCCACGCCGUAAACGAUGAGUGCUAAGUGUUAGGGGGUUUCCGCCCCUUAGUGCUGCAGCUAACGCAUUAAGCACUCCGCCUGGGGAGUACGACCGCAAGGUUGAAACUCAAAGGAAUUGGCGGGGACCCGCACAAGCGGUGGAGCAUGUGGUUUAAUUCGAAGCAACGCGAAGAACCUUACCAAAUCUUGACAUCCUCUGACCCCUCUAGAGAUAGAGGUUUCCCCUUCGGGGGACAGAGUGACAGGUGGUGCAUGGUUGUCGUCAGCUCGUGUCGUGAGAUGUUGGGUUAAGUCCCGCAACGAGCGCAACCCUUAAGCUUAGUUGCCAUCAUUAAGUUGGGCACUCUAAGUUGACUGCCGGUGACAAACCGGAGGAAGGUGGGGAUGACGUCAAAUCAUCAUGCCCCUUAUGAUUUGGGCUACACACGUGCUACAAUGGACAAUACAAAGGGCAGCGAAACCGCGAGGUCAAGCAAAUCCCAUAAAGUUGUUCUCAGUUCGGAUUGUAGUCUGCAACUCGACUACAUGAAGCUGGAAUCGCUAGUAAUCGUAGAUCAGCAUGCUACGGUGAAUACGUUCCCGGGUCU